GAGCUAAACCUUCAUUUUACUCACUCCUGGUUUCAAACUAGACUCCAACCCAGACAUGAACCUCUGGGUCUUCAACCUAAACCUGUACUAGGUCCCUUUAUCUGGAGCUAGGUUCAGUUCUGCUCCUGGUCCCUAUAUCUGGAGCUAGGUUCAGUUCUGCUCCUGGUCCCUAUGGAACCUUGUGGUAUCUAAUCACUAAUCAUUGAUCUUGCUUUAUAAUAUGUAUUGAAGUUGCACUAAUAAUGAAGCUCAGCACA